rfam:Cricetulus griseus cell line CHO-K1, whole genome shotgun sequence.
UGGGAUGUUGCCUAGUGGUAUAGCGUGAGCUUAACAAGUUCAUUGACCUGAGUUUGAUCCCAGCAUCCAGA